rnacentral:rRNA from 1 species
UACAGAGGUCUCAAGCGUUGUUCGGAUUCAUUGGGCGUAAAGGGUGCGUAGGCGGCGCGGUAAGUCGGGUGUGAAAUUUCGAGGCUUAACUUCGAAACUGCAUUCGAUACUGCCGUGCUUGAGGACUGGAGAGGAGACUGGAAUUUACGGUGUAGCGGUGAAAUGCGUAGAUAUCGUAAGGAACACCGGUGGCGAAGGCGGCAUCCUGGACCAACACUGACGCUCAGGCACGAAAGCGUGGGGAGCAAACAGG